rnacentral:lncRNA from 1 species
GAUUUUUAAUGGCUCCUCUCAAAGAUUAACAUCUCUUCACUAAAUACAGAAGAAUUCCAUAUGUAAUGAAUUUCCAGCCUCCAUGAAAACAAAAUGGACUCUUUCAUGCUGUCUCAACAUAUGAAUACAUUGCUCUGUCACCUGGGUGUUAUUACCGACUUAAAUCUGAAAGAAGCUGGGCACGGCAGUGGUGUGUGGGUGCCUGCAGUCCUGAGGAGCUGGGACUGUUUCCCGAACAAUGCCUUUCCACCACACACGGUGGUUGUGAGGGCCAGCUGAGGCAAAGCCCUCAGGAAGACCACUCAAGCCCAGGAGUCCAGCCUGCGCAAGACACUUUUUUUAGGCUUCUGUCACCACAAAAUGUUACUUGGAAAACUAGAUCCCAGCAGAUGACCUGUACUUCUCUGCUCUCUCCCCUACUGCAAAGAGGCAGUGAGGGCAGCAUUAGUAAGCCUGACUCAGGGGAAGGUAAGUGGCCUGCAGAGAAAUGGUCCUAGGUCCGCAACCGAGGCGAGUGAACUUGUCGGACAGAUGAAGACUCUAACUGGAAGAAACGAUCAGCGCAUUCACGGAUGCACCACCAUCCAGAAAUCUCCCGGUGGCUUCCAUACAAAAACUGAUGUUUCUAAAGAUGGAAAGAACAGGUCUAGGAGGCAGAAGAGUAUCUCCUAGCAAAGUGUUCUGUAGCUCAAAGGGCAGUCAGGAGCACGUCUUUGAAUUCCUCGCAGACGAUGUAUCCAUCAGUCCUGUGGGGACACAACGCGAUGUCAACCCUCGAACCUGCUGCCUGCUCUGCCUCUCCUCCCUCCCCAGUUUGUGGAAGACAGUGGGCCACAUCUGAGCACUAGGGGUCCUGAAGGAUGUCGCGGGUCAGCCAGUGUCCCACAUCCUCCGUGCAGAAGGCAGG